ensembl:rRNA 5S_rRNA 5S ribosomal RNA
GCUGACAGCUAGCUCUCUGCAACUCUCAAUUGGUUGUCCACUGAAACUAAGCAGGGCGGCACCCAGUCUGUACCUGGAUGGGAGACCACAUGGGAAAGCUAGAUUGCUGCCAUAA